rnacentral:rRNA from 1 species
GACGAACGCUGGCGGCGUGCUUAACACAUGCAAGUCGAACGGAAAGGCCCCUUUGGGGGUACUCGAGUGGCGAACGGGUGAGUAACACGUGAGUAACCUGCCCUUGACUUCGGGAUAACUUCAGGAAACUGGGGCUAAUACCGGAUAGGAAUCCUUGCUGCAUGGUGGGGGUUGGAAAGCUUCGGCGGUUUUGGAUGGACUCGCGGUUUAUCAGCUUGUUGGUGGGGUAGUGGCUUACCAAGGCUUUGACGGGUAGCCGGCCUGAGAGGGCGACCGGCCACAUUGGGACUGAGAUACGGCCCAGACUCCUACGGGAGGCAGCAGUGGGGAAUAUUGCACAAUGGGCGGAAGCCUGAUGCAGCAACGCCGCGUGCGGGAUGACGGCCUUCGGGUUGUAAACCGCUUUCAGCAGGGGCGAAGCUUGUGGUGACGGUACCUGCAGAAGAAGCACCGGCUAACUACGUG